UGUGCUCAAGAGAUGGAAUGGAAGCUUACUAACACAAAUCUUUGCUCUUGCAACAAUCUCACUUGAAUCCCCAAAGAAAAUCACUCAAGAAUGAAAAAGGGGAAGUGAGAGAGCUCUUCUUUUGCUUGUAAGUGUUUUCUGGUCGAAAUGAGCAAGAGGGCUUUUGAAUGAAGGGGUAUGGCGGGUAUUUAUACCCCCUCUCACAGAAAACUAGCCGUUGGCUAAAGGGUACCCGGAUACUCCGAGUAUAUGUCCGGAUACUCCGGACAAUUGGGUCCGGAGACUCCGGUCUCAGAGAAACUACAGCUAGGGAACAGUUACCCGGAAAUUCUAGGUAUUUGUCUGGAUACUCCGGAACACUAUGUCCGGACAUUCCGGACCAUGAACCGGACAAUCCGGGUAUAACAGGGAAUUUCACGAGAAGGCUAUUUAUAGUGGUAGGUUUGAUUCUCAUGGUUUUUUGUAGGUUCUCUUGAGCACAACUACCACGUAAACACCUGUGGAUCAAAGUCCCUCUUGAUAGUACAGCGUUCCUAUACUCAAUUUCAAAAUAAAAUAUAAUUCUUCAAGUAAAUUUGAAACACCAUUUUUCAUUUUCCUGUUAAGGGGUCAUGCUUUGUAAUACGCUUUGCUUAAUCACCCUUGGCACCUGCACACAUGCUUGACAACAUGAUUAAAUAUACAUGUGCUUUGUCAUCUACCACCAAAACCCACUAAGGGGCCUAGAUAUCUUUCAUCCCCACACCCUGGCGCUUCGUCCUUGUCCUCCCCGCUUGAUCCGUCCUCCUCCCCACGCCGCCGGCGGCUCCUCCCCUCGCCACCGGCCGCACCCCACCCAGGCCUCGCCUCCCUUGCCGGGGCACCCCACUUCGGCCUCCCCUCACUUGGCGCUAGCCGUCUCCACCCCAGCCUCCCUUCCCUCGCAUCCUGCCUUCCGACGCUGGUGAGGCCUCCAUCCCUUCGUGGUUCCUUCCCCACGCCGAACAGAGGAGCUCUCCCGGUGCCCAGGAGCCCGUCCGUUGCUGCCGGCCACCUACAUUUAUUUGGUCAAGAUCUGGAAGACAUUCAACUUCUCACUGGAGGUAGAUCUGAAGGACAACCAAGGAGACAAGCAAUCUUCUCUCGUACCGAUUUCAGCUUCAGCAAAGCUUUGCUCGUUGGAAGGAGAUUGACAUUAACCUUAUCAAACCUCGGCUCACACAAAGGGAAACUAAAUGUCAAAUGCAAGAGGAAACAAUAAAGCUGGGUCAUCCAAGGAAUAUGAGCAGGAAAGGCUUGAAAAUAUUAAGAGGAUCAAAAAGAGAUUGUCAGAUCUGAACAUCCCUGAAAUUGUCAAAGAUAUGGGGCAGCAAGGUUUGCCUACGCAAACUUCAAAGUUGAAGAUAUUCAGAAUAAUGACAUAACCAAUGGUACAAAAAAGAGGGCUGCAAGGGGCAUAACUAAGAUGGAUCAGAUCUUCUCAUGGACACCUCAAAUGUCUAAGAUCAACGUAGAUCUCAAUGAACAUGGUCAACCUAUUGUAAAACUGGUAGGCAAUUCUAUUGGCUGCCACGUUAGGAAGAAGAUGUCGAUUGCUCACAAGGAUUGGAGGCUUAUUGAUAUUGAAAAGAAGUUAGAGCUAUGGACUGAAUUAAAGCAGUACUUUGAUGUUGAUGAUGCUGCCAUAAACUGAUUUUUGCGUUCUGCACAUAUGAAGUGGAAACAAUUCAAGACAGACUUAAAGGACCAGUAUUUUAAUCCUGAUUUCACUUCAGAGGAAAUUCCAGAAUGUCCUGAUGAAAGAAUCAAUAAUGAUGACUGGCGAAGUAUCUACAAGUAUUGGUUGUCUUCUGCGUUUCAGGCUGUGGAACUUGGUCGUCCUCCACGAAGAGAUGAUAUCUUUCUCAAGACCCAUACGAGGAAGGAUGGAGUUCCUUCAUAGUCCACAGAAUAUAUGAUUAAUCAAAUUAAAGACAUUCUUGAAGUCUAUCCAGAAAUAAAAGAUCGAACAAUUCAAGGAGAUGCAUUUGCUAUCAUUUGUGGAGAGAAAGAGCCAAAAGGAUCUAUCCGGUGUUUGGGUUUGGGUCCAACUCCUCACGAUAUUGGCACUCUAGGAUUGAAGUCCCAUAAGCCAACUAGACUUCAAAUGGAGAUUUUUGCUCGUAACAAGGCUAAAAAUGAGAAGGCUGCUCUACAAUAGCAUAUACUUGAGCUGGAGGCUGAAAUUGAGCAAAGAGCAGAAAAAGAUCACGCAAGUGAAGAGCUCGUGUAACACCAUGGUUCUACUACACAACCACAUCAGUUCUUUAGCGCAAGGAAUGCUGAGGAUGACCCUAAUGACAAAGAUUAUGCUUCUGGAGAUGAGGAUGAUGAGAUGCAAGGUUCAAAGGCAGCAACACCAAAGACUGAUGCUCCUUAGUCUCCACAUGAUGCUCUUAUUGGAAAAGAUGUCAUAUUAUAUACCUUGUUGAGAUCCAAUGUGCCCAUGGCUAAAGGAACAAUUGUUUCAACUAAACCGGACAUAAUAGUUGGAGGUGAGCCAAUUGGAAGGCAAUAUUAUGAAGUUAUUGUGACUUGUGUGCUGAAGCGAGAUGAAGUUCUUCCUCGUCCAUAUGGCAAUAUGCAAACUAUGGCCGAUACUAGGAUGAGAAGGCUUGCAUGACCAUACAAGAAGCUGAAGGUUACAAACAAGGCACUAGCUGGUUCAGCUAUAUAUUUUUGUUGACAAAUGCACCAGCCUUCUCAUAAGUUUGCAAUUAGAAAUCUUUAUUUUUACUAUGAGGACUGUGUGGUUGCAUGGUAUGCUUGUAGCUGAAUGGGGAAGUUUUAAUUUCAGUCUCCUAGCUAUUGACCUUUUUCUGGUGGUAACAUGGUAGAAAGAUGAUUGUUUUGCAAUAGAAAUCUGCUUGGUUUGGCAGCCUUCAACGUUGCUGUAGUUUACUUGCAUUUUUGUCCCAAAAAAA